CGGGCCUUUCGGGGUCAGUGGCGGACGGGUGAGUAACGCGUAGGAAUGUGUCCUGAGGUGGGGGAUAACGCUGGGAAACUGGCGCUAAUACCGCAUGAGUGCUGAGGCAGAAAGCCGUGAGGCGCCUUGGGAGCAGCCUGCGUCCGAUUAGCUUGUUGGUGGGGUAAUGGCCUACCAAGGCUGCGAUCGGUAGCUGGUCUGAGAGGAUGAUCAGCCACACUGGGACUGAGACACGGCCCAGACUCCUACGGGAGGCAGCAGUGGGGAAUAUUGGACAAUGGGCGCAAGCCUGAUCCAGCAAUUCCGCGUGGGUGAAGAAGGUCUUCGGAUUGUAAAGCCCUUUCGGCAGGGACGAUGAUGACGGUACCUGCAGAAGAAGCCCCGGCUAACUUCGUGCCAGCAGCCGCGGUAAUACGAAGGGGGCUAGCGUUGCUCGGAAUGACUGGGCGUAAAGGGCGCGUAGGCGGUUUGCACAGUCAGGCGUGAAAUUCCCGGGCUUAACCUGGGGGCUGCGUUUGAUACGUGCGGACUUGAGGAUGAGAGAGGCUCGUGGAAUUCCCAGUGUAGAGGUGAAAUUCGUAGAUAUUGGGAAGAACACCGGUGGCGAAGGCGGCGAGCUGGCUCAUUUCUGACGCUGAGGCGCGAAAGCGUGGGAGCAAACAGGAUUAGAUACCCUGGUAGUCCACGCUGUAAACGAUGUGCGCUGGAUGUUGGGAAGCUUAGCUUCUCAGUGUCGUAGCUAACGCGAUAAGCGCACCGCCUGGGGAGUAC
rnacentral:rRNA from 1 species